GAUCCUGGCUCAGGAUGAACGCUAGCUACAGGCUUAACACAUGCAAGUCGAGGGGCAGCAUGGUCUUUAGCUUUGCUAAGGCCGAUGGCGACCGGCGGCACGGGUGAGUAACGCGUAUCCAACCUGCCUUACACUCUUGGACAGCCUUCUGAAAGGGAGAUUAAUACAAGAUGUUAUCAUGAGUAAAGCAUUUUCGCAUGAUUAAAGGUUUACCGGUGUAAGAUGGGGAUGCGUUCCA
rnacentral:rRNA from 1 species